rnacentral:misc_RNA from 1 species
AGGCUGACAUUACUAAUUAAUUGCGUAGACUGGUUAUAAUGUUUACGAGUGUUAUAUGUGCUCAACAUCGUUCUUUGGUCCGAUAUAACUUUCGUAUUAAUAUGGCUGCAGAAAUUAAGCCGGCUCAGCGCAGUUGUGAUGAUCGUUUCAGUUCUGAGAAGAAGUUGGAAUUGCUAAAUAAAUUGGAGGGCAGUGGUGAUGAUAUUAAUUCUGCAAUAUUUAUUCCCGGUGAAAACGGAGUUAUAAGCGUAUCUGAUGACAAAACUAUACGUGUGUGGCUUAAACGAGACUCAGGGCAGUAUUGGCCUAGUAUAUGUGAAAGUAUGCCUUCAGGGGGUACGUCUAUAUAUUAUAAUGCGGCCGAAAGACAAUUGUAUAUUGGCCAGGAUAAUGGAACGGUAACCCAAUACUUAUUUUCGGAUGACUGCAACCGUCUUUCUUUUGUGCGAGAUUAUUUAGCUCAUCAGGGUCGUGUAAUGGAAGUUGUAGUAGCUCAUAUGCUGAAGUGGGUGUUGUCAUGUGGGAAGGACAAGUUAUUCGUCUUUUACUCUACCGAAAAUGGUCAGAGAUUGGGUAGUUACAGUUUUGAGACACCUUGUACUUCACUUCAAUUUGACACCAUGGCGAAAUAUGCAUUCGUUGGAGACAAUGCUGGUAUGAUCACAAUGUUACGAUGUGACGUACAAGGCGUUCAAUUCAUUAAUACCUUCAAAGGACAUACUACUAGUAUUCGAUGCUUGAAAUGGGUAGAAGAACAUCAGUUACUGUUUAGUGGAUCUUGUGAUCAAAUGGUUUUUGUAUGGGAUGUUGGAGGAAAACGUGGCACAAUUUAUGAACUACAAGGACACAAUAAUAAAGUUUCAUCACUUGCAUAUGCCAAUCAUACCCAGCAACUAAUAAGCGGAGGUGAAGAUUCUGUUAUUGUUUUUUGGGAAAUGAAUGCGAUGCGAAAGGAAGUACCAGGAUGGGUUGAAAGCAAUAGUUGUCAACAAUGUCAACGUCCAUUUUUUUGGAAUUUCCGAGCAAUGAUGGACCAAAGACAAAUAGGAAAUUCGAAUGGACAAUUUUGCUAUUCCAAUCAAACUUCGACUGAAAAUAGUCCAAAAUCGUAAUAUCGGAAAAGAGUUGGGUGGAACUGAAGUUGAAUUGCUCAAGAAGGAAAUUUUGAAGGUGUAUUGAAGCUCUCCCUACGAAGCAGUUCUGCUCCAAGUUGGUCACUGUAAUGAUGAUUUGUGCGAAAACUUCCUAGCAGAAAUGUAGGCUUCAUAAUUACGUUGUUCGACGAGGGACAUCAAAAGUCAUCAUGUGAUAAUCCAAUGUGCGGUGUUCUGGCAUGUCUGUUUGUUUCUACUGCAAUCAAGCGAAUGUGUAGUUCAUGACUUUAAUUGUAAGACUUCUCUAAGUUGGUAGAUUGGUGUCAGGGAGAAGUUGAGAACCUUUGUGAAGAACUUUACUCCCGGCGAUAGACCGAUGAACUUAGACGUUUUAGUCUUAUAGAUCACAUCUUGACUCUCUUCGUCGGUAAAAGCAAUUGAUGGGCAAUUCUUUGGCGUUUUGGGCAUUCGACAGCACCAUUGUCGACACUGUGGAAAGGCUGUAUGUGACAGUUGCUCUGUAAACCGUAUUAAUAUUCCUAUAAUGGGA